AUUGAACGCUGGCGGCAUGCUUUACACAUGCAAGUCGAACGGCAGCACGGGGGCAACCCUGGUGGCGAGUGGCGAACGGGUGAGUAAUGCAUCGGAACGUACCCAGUCGUGGGGGAUAACGCAGCGAAAGUUGUGCUAAUACCGCAUACGACCUGAGGGUGAAAGUGGGGGACCGGUAACGGCCUCACGCGAUUGGAGCGGCCGAUGUCUGAUUAGCUAGUUGGUGGGGUAAAGGCCCACCAAGGCGACGAUCAGUAGCGGGUCUGAGAGGAUGGUCGGCGAACCUGGGAAUGAGACACGGCCCAGACUCCUACGGGAGUCAGCAGUGGGGAAUUUUGGACAAUGGGGGCAACCCUGAUCCAGCCAUGCCGCGUGCGGGAAGAAGGCCUUCGGGUUGUAAACCGCUUUCGGACGGAAAGAAAUCGCACGGGCCAAUACCCUGUGUGGAUGACGGUACCGUAAGAAGAAGCACCGGCUAACUACGUGCCAGCCGCCGCAGUAACAC
rnacentral:rRNA from 1 species